AGGCGACGAUCCCUAGCUGGUCUGAGAGGAUGACCAGCCACACUGGAACUGAGACACGGUCCAGACUCCUACGGGAGGCAGCAGUGGGGAAUAUUGCACAAUGGGCGCAAGCCUGAUGCAGCCAUGCCGCGUGUAUGAAGAAGGCCUUCGGGUUGUAAAGUACUUUCAGCGGGGAGGAAGGGAGUAAAGUUAAUACCUUUGCUCAUUGACGUUACCCGCAGAAGAAGCACCGGCUAACUCCGUGCCAGCAGCCGCGGUAAUACGGAGGGUGCAAGCGUUAAUCGGAAUUACUGGGCGUAAAGCGCACGCAGGCGGUUUGUUAAGUCAGAUGUGAAAUCCCCGGGCUCAACCUGGGAACUGCAUCUGAUACUGGCAAGCUUGAGUCUCGUAGAGGGGGGUAGAAUUCCAGGUGUAGCGGUGAAAUGCGUAGAGAUCUGGAGGAAUACCGGUGGCGAAGGCGGCCCCCUGGACGAAGACUACGUCAG
rnacentral:rRNA from 2 species